rnacentral:rRNA from 1 species
GACGAACGCUGGCGGCGUGCUUAACACAUGCAAGUCGAACGGUAAGGCCCUUCGGGGUACACGAGUGGCGAACGGGUGAGUAACACGUGGGUAAUCUGCCCUGCACUUCGGGAUAAGCCUGGGAAACUGGGUCUAAUACCGGAUAUUCAGUUCCUGCCGCAUGGUGGGGGUUGGAAAGUUUUUCGGUGCAGGGUGAGCCCGCGGCCUAUCAGCUUGUUGGUGGGGUAAUGGCCUACCAAGGCGACGACGGGUAGCCGGCCUGAGAGGGUGAUCGGCCACACUGGGACUGAGACACGGCCCAGACUCCUACGGGAGGCAGCAGUGGGGAAUAUUGCACAAUGGGCGAAAGCCUGAUGCAGCGACGCCGCGUGGGGGAUGACGGUCUUCGGAUUGUAAACCCCUUUCAGUAGGGACGAAGCGCAAGUGACGGUACCUGCAGAAGAAGCACCGGCCAACUACGUG